rnacentral:misc_RNA from 1 species
GUGAAUCAUCGAAUUUUUGAACGCAAAUUGCACUUUCUGGUAUUCCGGAAAGUAUGCCUGUUUGAGGAUCAGUUAAUUAAAAAUCUGUUUUGUUGCUGCCUUUCGUGGUUACUCUUCGGAAUUGAGUUGUCUUACCUUCGGUUAAGUGACUUAAAAUUUUUCAUGAUUUUCGAACGUAUUUAAAUUUCUUACGGACGUUUGUGAUAUCUAAGACUUUAUUAGUGUCAGUCAUCCUCAUGAUUCGCUCCUAUAAUUUUUUCAUUAAAUGACCUCAAAUCAGUUAGGA